rnacentral:rRNA from 1 species
UGAGCCAAGUUUAGGGUUUUCUCAAAACCCAAGCAGUAUUGAACUGAAGAGUUUGAUCAUGGCUCAGAUUGAACGCUGGCGGCAGGCCUAACACAUGCAAGUCGAGCGGAUGAAGGGAGCUUGCUCCUGG